rnacentral:lncRNA from 1 species
AUCCUUUAAGUUGAUUUCUGGAGGCACUGUAUCACAGAGAUGGAAAGCUGACGCAUACAUACAGUGUCGGGGUUUCUGCACUUGCAGGAUCUGUGCGCAUGCCUGUGGGUCAGGAAGGGCUGGCUUCAUAACUGUCUCUUACACGUCCCUUCUCUCCUGCCUUCGACAUAUUGAAGGCCAACCUAUAAACAGUUCCCCCUUUGGGUCCCCGAUGCUGAGGAGAGACAAGAACAAGAGAUGGUGAAACUGGAGUUUCUGCCCUCAAGAUGCCAGGAGAUGCAAGUCUUCUUUCUUCAAUAUGCAAACUGUGACCAGACUCACUGCAUGGAGGAUUCUGGGUAAUUCCUGAAUGGAAUCUGACCAAUCACAUUGGGAAGUGUAGGACCCAAGAGGUCUGAGUUAAUCUGUAAACCUCCCAUCUGAGGAACAGCCAGAGUGAGAGUUGCCAUACUUGUGUGGGUAACAGUCUAUGCCUAAACUAGGCAUUGUCUACAGUCACAAAAGUGUUCUAAGCAAUAUCCGAGUAGUCACUUUUAAGCCACUGGGAAAUCAUUGGUGCCAAUGACUGACAUUUCCAGAAAUCUAAGAGUUGGUACCGAGCAGAGCCAAGGGAAGUACCUGUGAGACGCUCCUCCGUGCCUACAUCUGUGUUGUCUUACAGGUCUGACAGCUCAGCCUGGUAGAGCUCAGCCUGGCAGAGCAGGACAGAGGCAGUGUCUGAACAGACUCACAGAUGGCUCGUCCUUCCUUGCUGUGCGACCCUGGAAGAGUUUACUCAUCCAUUCCCAUCCUUGGCUUCCUCCCCCUAAAACAGCGAGCUGAUACCACCUUCCUCACAGGAUUACUAGAGCCUUAAAUAAGAAGUUUAAAUGUGC